AUUGAACGCUGGCGGCAGGCCUAACACAUGCAAGUCGAACGAGUGGCGGACGGGUGAGUAAUGUCUGGGAAACUGCCUGAUGGAGGGGGAUAACUACUGGAAACGGUAGCUACUACCGCAUACCCUCAGAUGUGCCCAGAUGGGAUUAGCUUGUGGGUGGGGUAACGGCUCACCUAGGCGACGAUCCCUAGCUGGGCUGAGAGAAUGACAAGCCAAAAGGGAACUGAGACACGGUCCAGAGUCUUACGGGAGGCAGCAGUGGGGAAUAUGGAAAAAUGGGCGAAAGCCGGAUGCAGCCAUGCGGAGUGGAGGAAGAAGGUCUUCGGGUUGUAAAGUAAUUUCAGCGGGGAGGCGUUACCCGCAGAAGAAGCACCGGCUAACUCCGUGCCAGCAGCCGCGGUAAUUC
rnacentral:rRNA from 1 species